CCUACGGGGUGCAGCAGUGGGGGAUAUUGGACAAUGGGGGAAACCCUGAUCCAGCGACGCCGCGUGAGUGAAGAAGUAUUUCGGUAUGUAAAGCUCUGUCAGCAGGGAAGAAAGAAAUGACGGUACCUGACCAAGAAGCCCCGGCGAACUACGUGCCAGCAGCCGCGGGAAUACGUAGGGGGCAAGCGUUAUCCGGAAUUACUGGGUGUAAAGGGAGCGUAGGCGGUGAUGCAAGUCUGGAGGGAAAGGCGGGGGCCCAACCCCCGGACUGCUCUGGAAACUGUGUGACUUGAGUGCAGGAGAGGUAAGCGGAAUGCGUGGUGUAGCGGUGAAAUGCGUAGAUAUUAGGAAGAACACCAGGGGCGAAGGCGGCUUACUGGACUGUAACUGACGUUGAGGCUCGAAAGCGUGGGGAGCAAACAGGAUUAGAUACCCCUGUAGUC
rnacentral:rRNA from 1 species